AUAAUUAUUCCAUUUCAAAGAAGUCAAAUUACAAAAUAAAGAACUAUGGAAAUAUGACGAUAAGGGAUAAUAUUGCUGACACAAUGGGAUUAGAGACUGCGUUUAGAGCAUA
rnacentral:lncRNA from 13 species